rnacentral:rRNA from 1 species
UGCAACUCGCCUGCAUGAAGCUGGAAUUGCUAGUAAUGGCAGGUCAGCAUACUGCCGUGAAUACGUUCCCGGGCCUUGUACACACCGCCCGUCACACCAUGAGAGUUGGAAAUACCCGAAGCCUGUGAGCUAACUUAAAGAGGCAGCAGUCGAAGGUAGAGCCAAUGAUUGGGUGAAGUCGUAACAAGGUACC